CGGAAGGCAGUAACACAUAGUAAAUAAGUUUAGGGUCUUUCAAGUUAGACAGUGAGGAUUCAAGUCGUCCUCCCCCUCCCCCCCUUACUUACUAUCCAUGUGACCCUGAACAAACUAUUUCCCAUCUAUGAACUCCAGUUUCCUCAUCAGGAGGUUUGAGAUGAUAAUUGUGGCGGAUGGCCGCUGUUGAUUUGUUUUGUUUUGUUUUGUUUUGUUUUGUUUUGUUUUGACCUCCAGCCAGCAUCAAUUAACCCGCUUCUGCCUUAGGGCAACCAGGUCUUGCCCACUCUGAACCACGAUUUCACUCCCGGGCUCGGUGCGUCCGGGCAUGUGACCUGGGCUUCAGCCAAUCAGUGCAUCCAUCACCUGAGCAGAGAUUGGCUGGUGGGCGGUCAUGUGACCCAAGCCAGUCCAAUGGAGUCCUCCUUAGGGCUUCCGUGAACCACUUCCUUUCCAUAGCCUUGCGGCUGUGAGGGUGGCCCGGUCCCUGCUGCAAAGGUUUUUUGCUCCGCCACGAGAACGCGCUCCGGAAGAGUCGAGCCAAGAGAAACCAGUUGUGGUGGACAACUUUUGAGCCCUUCGUGGUGAUGCCAGUCAUGAUUUUCCACUGACACAGGUGCUCCAUGAUAUUGCGUGGGCUUCUAAUAAACGUCCAGUAAACCGCAGGUAGCGCCUCGGAGAGGGAUGGGCCCGUGCACCUGUCCACAAAGGGCCUCCACACGCCGCACCUCCACCUUCUGUCGCCCAGCCCUGGCACAGCCAGCUUCGGAGACGAGCCUGCCCCUCGGGACGCCCGCAGCUUUAAAGUCGGGUGAAAAUGGAGGCUGUGCGCCCUACAAGGAAGCACGGUGGGCUGAUAAAGCUUCCCUCGUCGUGCUCAGUUUUCAGUGUGGCGCCCACUGAAGGGAGGGGGCUGCUGCCUGGACUGUGGAGCUGGGACGCGUCUGCCUGGCUGUGACGGGGAAUCCAUCAGAUGGUGAAGUGGGUCAACUGCUUACAAGGGACAUAAAGAGCAGCAGAGACGGAGAAUAUUUAUACGUCCAUCUUCUCCGAGAGAAGAUGCUUCAUCACAGGGAUUGGCUGCAAAAUUACACUUUUCCUGACUCCUGAACAGAGACAACCUUUUGUCCGGGCAGCGGGAAGGACAGUAAGGCUUUCACUGGGACACGGUCCCCCAGGGCCACCACCACUCUCCUGCUGCUCAGCCCCAUGGGGGAGGGGCCUGGGCCAGAAAACCUCCCCAUCACUGCCACCGAUCACCUCCUGUGGCUGAGGGGAGAGGAGCAACAACUCACUUUCUCAUGCUUUGGACUAAUUUACACGGCAGAGGCCCUGCUCCCGGCCGGGGACGGACGUGGACGGCAGGGAAUAUGGCUGCUGGACAACAGGCUGGGCAGGAAGGAGGCUGGUGUCACCACUGAGCACCAGGAGAGUGAUGGCACUCAAGUGAGAAUUUCUUUAGUAAGCACCGCUUCGUCCACUGUCAACACCCACAGCUGAGAGUAGUUCUGAGUCGUGCAGGUUUGACAUGCUACCCCAGGUAUCCAAACUCGCAAACUGAGCCCUCUCUACCCUACCACCUUGCCUCCACCGUGUACACGGUCCACAUACGUCCCUGCAAACACCCGGUAUCUGCCCACCAACGUGGCGGGUGGCUCUAGUCCACACUGUUAGCCACACUGCCAGGGCGGGGGGGGGGGGGGCCUCAUGCGUCUUCCUGCUGGCCUGGCCAGGGCCCAGCGUCACACUUUCCCUGAAGCUCGCCUGCUUCUGGGGGGAGGGGAGGCUGGAGGUGCACUGCCCACUCACAACUGGGGUGACACCUGGUCUCUCUCCAUCUCUUACUGGGGUGCUUCUCGGGUGUGGCAGGCUGGGGCGCACUGCGGGUCCCUGCUUGCGCUGGCUGCUGGGGUAUUCCCUUUGGUCCCUAACCACCCAGCUCAAAGCUGACAGGGUGAGGGGGGUCCUUCAUGGAGUGAACUAUCCCUGCGGCCAAAUGAUGGUGAUAGGGCACAGGCUUAAAUUCAGAAACACCCCCAGGCAGAGCAGAGUAUGUAAAGUUAAAGCAGACCCACCCCGGUUCUGGACAGACAGAACGAUGUGUUGUCAUCAGGGACUGCACUUGAACUUCCUUUACGGCUGGGACCACUGAGCCCAGGUUUCAGCUCUGCACGGGGGCAACAGCACCUGUCUGCACAGGGUGUGGAGAGUGAAGGAGGACAGCACAUGGCGGCCUCCAUGGAUGCCGGCCUCUCCCUGCUGCUCAGGAGCCCAAGAGAUCAGGGAGGUAUUCAGGAUGGGCAGAGAGGCGGCUCGGGUCACGUGUCUGCCCCGAACCCAAAGGGUGUCUCCUGCCUUUUUGUGGGCAAGGGGUUUGGCUUAGCAGUGUAAAGUAUGACACAAUGAGCAAAGCCAAGUCCUCUGCCAGGCAGCCCCCACCCUGCAGCCCCCAGGGGCAGCCAGAUUUGCCAGGAAUGGGAAGUUGCAAAGUCAUCCUGACCAAAGGGACACCCAGCGACGCAGGCCCAACCCUCGGAGCCGAGAGCCGGGGCCAGGGGGCUGUGGGCCCAGCUUCUCUCCUCGGCCUCCGACUCCGUGAGCUAUGCUUAGUUCAGGGGCAAAAAGGAGCAAGUUCAUGAUUGUUUAUGGAGAAAAUUCUCUGCCAUUGUUGCCAAAGCAGCAGCCCGUUCACCAGAGUGUGAUAUCAACAUACUAAUCACCAUGAAACGCACGCGGAUGGCCCGGGUAAGUAACUUCUAAAUCCUCAGAUUAAACGAAAAAACCACAGCAUUCUUGACUGUGGUGGUGUUUGCGACGGUUUUAUAUCCUAUUUAACGUUUCCAACCUCCCCCAUCUCCCCUCAUUUUAACUCCACUUUAAUUUCCUUCAACGCAGAACACAGACGAGUAUUUUUAAGCCAUCACUUAAACAAGAAAUCAAGCCUGGCGUGGUCACGCGGGACGUCACUGCUUAGCCUCCAGCGGCAGAGCGGCGUGCCGUGCUGACACGGGAUGGAUUUACGCUGCUCGCCCCCCCUUCCUGUGGACGGUAAUAGGGAAGAGUCACAACCAGCGUGACUGAGACCACGGCAGCCGCAUGCUGGGCAUCGUCCUAAGCCCUGUACGCGACUAUCUCGGUCAAACCCCGUAAGUGCUGGCAGUGAGGAUUUUUUAUUACUCUCCCAGUUUACAGGGGGGAAGACGGAGGUUUAGAACAGCUAAGUGGCGCUGCUCAGAUCUAAGCCCGGGGCGGCCGAGUCCAGAACUCUUUCUUCCCCCGCCAGCCUCUGCUCAGAGCACCGGACAUCAAGACAAUGCCUUCUAACAAGACACAUGUUUGGGUCAGAUUUUCGUCCUCAGCAUGAGAAUUCAGGUUUCUGGUGGUUUCUGCCACCCGCACCGAGCCUCACGCAGGCUCCGCCUUCCUGGUGACUCACGGGCCCAGCCAGAGUCAGGUCGACCGGCCUCCCUUGCACCGUUGUCCCCAUCAGCCCCUUCAAGGGAUGUGAAACCACAUACUUUAAGUCAUAAGGGGCAGGGUUUGGAGUGUAACUGCUGGGUCUCAAUCUUGGGCAAGACCCUUCACCUCCAGAGUCUCAAUUUCUGGGGGUGGGAACCAGUGGGAAUGUAGGUACAGCCCCGAGCUGAAGGUGAGCACAGAGCAGGUGCUGAAAUAAAGGGGGCUAUGGCUGUGGCACAGGAGGCCCGAGGCAGGAGAAAACACGACAUUCAGACGCUGCCUCCUUGGUCCAGCACACAACACCUCUGCACCCUCAGCCCCGUGGUGCCAGGCGCUGGCGUUCGCAUAUAUUCGUGAAGUGUUCCUGAAAACCCCAUGACGUGCCUUCUACUGUUAUCCCAGCUUCAAACAGAGAGGGGACCGCUUGCCCCCGGUCAGCGUGGAGCCGGGUGAGACGUCUGUGUGACCUUGUCCGUCCUAAAGGGGUCACAGGCCGUGCCCCUGAUUUACCCCUGCAGCCAGAGUGAGCCACCUUGAAAGCCACCUUGAAAGAGUAAGCCACCUUCUGCACACGCUCACCGGUGCCACCCUGCGCAGGGCCCCAGGCGAAGGCAGUUUGCGAACAGGCGGCGGGCAGAACCGUCUGGGGGCUGCUUGCUUUUGAGAAGGGGGUGCACGGGGGGCCCCACGUAUAUACACGGAGCCUAUGUAUCUCCAAUGUGGUGGCCAGCCAUUCUUUUCCCCAAGUUCACUGCCCAGCUCCCGCCCCCUCCCCCCAAAUCUAUAGAUGACAAUCAGGUUGGUUUUUAUGAUUUAGUGAGAAUCAAAGACAAAGGGGGACUUUUUUUGUCUUGUUUUUGCUAUGACAGCUUUAGAAAUUUGUUGUACUACAUUGAUUCAAUUUUCCUUGAUUUCAGCCAUCUUUCAAUAAUGCAACCUGCUUCUGCUAGCUGGGUAUACAGGAGAAAACCCAAAGGAACUGAGAAUAUUGAAAUGGUUCUACCAUUUCCGUCUUGGAGACAAAUGUGCCUCUCAGAGGAGAGCCGGAUGCAAGCAUGUGACUCUGCCUAACGACCGUCUACACAUAAGAGACGACACACACACUCCAGUGAUGUCUUACGCAAACAGGGAAAACACUGACCGGCGGGUCUGACCCCAGGCUCCUUCCCUCCUCUUGGCUCUCGCUCCUCAGAGUUGUCACGUGGGCUGGAGUCUUGGAUUUCUUUCUUUUUUAUUAGGGAAACAUCCAAACCAUGUGGAACCAGGCGGCCGAAUGGGGCCUCGCUUAUCAGGCACAACGGAAUGUAUCCUGAUCCUUGCUCUAAACCUGGAAGAGGCUCCUCGGAUGUUUCCCCAAACCCCUCCUCAUGACAAAUAAGCAGGAGGAGGAGAGGGAAAGGAGACUCCGGGCCUGUCCCCCAACCUCCACCUUUUAAAAACGGAAGCAUUUUAAAACACUGAGGCCGAACUGUUUCAUCUGUCACUUAAAACCUUCCGGCUUAGAGAACACAAGGAGGUGUUGGUCAUAUGUGAUUUGAAGCAAAAAACACGUUAAAAUGGAAACCCACCAGGACUCUAGUGAUCACUGAGGGUACAGGGGUGAGCGACGGGAGUACAUAUUGCAGAAAACCUGGUCGACAACAGGGCUGGCCCCUGCUGGCAGGGACCCUGCCUGGUCAUCUGUCGACAGCACCCAGCAAGGUCACAGCCCUCCUAAAAGACAGUGACUGUCACUGAUCACUUCCGCCUCUUCUCCAUGCCCGUGUCAAAAGCCGGUUUGCUCCUUCCACAGCUGGGGGGCCGGAGGGGCACAGGGCUUCACCACAUGCCACCCUGACUGCUCCAUCUACGUGGUGGGAUGGGUCGAAGCAGUUCCAGGAGGCAGGAUGGUCAGUCUCUUGUCUGGGACUCCUUGACAUCCAGGGAAGGAGCCGGAGGGAGUUCUAGGCCUCUGGAAAUGCAAGGGGAAUGAAGGACGUGCCCAUCAAUUAUCAUUUGAGAAAUGAGAAAUGAUCAGUCGUGGUGAAAACUGGUAACACUGCAUUUUAAUGGGCGUUUCUAGAAGUUCAUGAAGAUGGGAACUUUUUCUGAGAACGCUGGCUUUUCAACAGAUGACAUGAAAAAUCAAAUGCACAUGGCAACAAGGGUCAGCUGGAAGCCUGGAGAAGUCUGGGCUGAACGCAUGGUGAGAGGGGACCUGGUCCCUGGGGCCCCUGCUCUGAGCCCUCUCUGGGCACAUCGGGCAUUUCAUAUUCCUGAGGUGGGGGUUCCGAAAACAGGCAGCCGGGACGAACAGGUGAAACCGGAGUCUCAGACAAAAGCCCAGGCCUUCGUGGUUCCCAGCCACAGCCCAGAGGUGGGGCUUCCUCUCCUGUUCGGAGCAGGGUGGCGGGGCCGUCCUGGCUGGGCUGGCGGGGGAGGUUAAAGGACAGAGCACAGGGGGUGUGCGCCACGGGGCUUGGCCCAAGCCACCGGGCCUCGGGCACGUGCUGAGUCGGCAGCGCCGGGCAGCAGCGAGCUGGCGAGGGCGAUCUUGGGGCAGGGCCACCGAAGUCGGCACUCCGCUCCCGGGGCUGCGCUGCCAGUAGCCACAAAACAGCCUGGCUCUCUCCCGCUGCCAGCCCGAGUGGCAAGAACGGGGCUGCUUGCCCGCCAUCCAGCAGAGGUCCAGCUGUUGCAUCAUUAGGCUCUAACUGCCCCACUAAACUUUCCCGAUUGGAGCCGGUGCGCAGGACAGAACAGCCUCUCCGAGGGAGCGGGGCGGGAGAGGCGCCAGCGUUGCCAUGGCAACGCGGCCAAGUGGCGUCGGCUGAAGUUACUCAUGCUCCGCAUGUCACGUCACGAGCAUUUUUCAAGAUUAAGCUGCUUACCAGAAGGGUUCAGAGGAGGCCUAUUAUAUUUCAUGAAAAUGGAAACUACAGAGCAGGUCAAAUCGCAAGCCGGGUGGUUUUAAGCUGGAUCCAAGAAAUACACUGAGGGAUUCUUUAGCUGGUGCCCAAACUGGGGCCCUCACGGUUAUUAGCUACUCGAAGCAAAGUUCUGCAAAAAGGAUUUAAAAAGCCCUGAAACAAGUCUAUCGAGCCUGCACGGGCCAGGCCUGUAACAGUUGAGGGCGGGGGCUCUGCACCCAAGGUUGGGGGGGGGCACCAUCUGACAGGGUCCCAGGAGUGCCAGGUGGGGUGGGCUCCUCCCACAGUCUGGGAUCGGGCCUUCAGGCCCCCAGCCAGCCCCCUCAGGCCCCCUGUCAUCAGAGAUAGCUCAGGGCCCCCGGCUGGCCGGCGCAUAGCAUGGGGUUCCUGGGGGCCCACAGUGAGCGGGAGAGCACAGCCGCAGGCACACACACUAGCCGGCCGGCCCUGCCAUUCCGAGGCCUCCCUCCGAUCCAGAGCAGAGAGUGUGGUUAUCGCAGCAUCCGGCAACGACCAUGAAAAAACCAGGCAGCCUUCUUUCUGUAAAAUGUCGUCACGGUUAAAUAAAAAAAAACAAAAAUGAAGUCGAACCUGGGGGCGCCUGGGUGGCUCAGUCGGUUAAGCAUCCGACUUCAGCUCAGGUCUUGAUCUCCUAGUUUCCGAGUUUGAGCCCCACAUCGGGCUCUGUGCUGUCCUGACCUUCGGACCCUCUGUCCCUCCCUCUCUCAAAAAUGAAUAAACGUUUUAAAAAAAAAAUUUAAGAAGUGGAGCUUGGAAACCAAGAACAUUCACAAUGAGCCCAAUUUACGGUCACAUUUGGGAAAAAAAAAAAAAGGCUUGGCCAUGGCCGAAUCUGAGUUUUUCCGCUUGUCUGCCUCGCUCCUUCCCCGCCCCUCGUGCCUGCUUUUCCCUAACUCUCCGAGCACCUGCUACGUGCAGCCGUAGCUGAAGGGGCCCAGAGAGGGAGUUGGGACAACACGAGGGAGGACCAGGGAGUGAGGGCUGCCGGGGGGGGGCCCUGUGUGAUGAGCAGAGGGAACGCAGGCGGGCUGGGGGUGACAGGACAGAAGGGAGAUCAUGCAGAACACUUACACUUUCU